rnacentral:rRNA from 1 species
UGGGGAAUAUUGGACAAUGGGCGCAAGCCUGAUCCAGCCAUGCCGCGUGAGUGAUGAAGGCCCUAGGGUUGUAAAGCUCUUUUGUCCGGAAAGAAAUGGCUCUGGUUAAUACCUGGGGGUCGAUGACGGUACCGGAAGAAUAAGGACCGGCUAACUACGUGCCAGCAGCCGCGGUAAUACGUAGGGUCCAAGCGUUAAUCGGAAUUACUGGGCGUAAAGCGUGCGCAGGCGGUUGUGCAAGACCGAUGUGAAAUCCCCGAGCUUAACUUGGGAAUUGCAUUGGUGACUGCACGGCUAGAGUGUGUCAGAGGGGGGUAGAAUUCCACGUGUAGCAGUGAAAUGCGUAGAGAUGUGGAGGAAUACCGAUGGCGAAGGCAGCCCCCUGGGAUAACACUGACGCUCAUGCACGAAAGCGUGGGGAGCAAACAGGAUUAGAUACCCUGGUAGUCCACGCCCUAAACGAUGUCAACUAGUUGUUGGGGAUUCAUUUCCUUAGUAACGUAGCUAACGCGUGAAGUUGACCGCCUGGGGAGUACGGUCGCAAGAUUAAACUCAAAGGAAUUGACGGGGAUCAUAGCUGUUUCCU